GGAGAAAUGCCAGAGCGGUUGAAUGGGACGGUCUCGAAAAUCGUUAUAUGUUUAUGCAUAUCGUGGGUUCGAAUCCCACUUUCUCUG
rnacentral:tRNA from 1 species